GGCUAUUUGCAUCCGUGUGUGAACCGUCACGAUUAGGCCCGAUCCCGGUGCCUAUACGGCGGCAAACCCACCUAAGUAGCCUCCCUUUAAAAUGAGGUUAAGUGAGCAAGCGCUUCCUUAACCUCAUUUAUUUGCUUGUGUGUCGGCGGCUGCUGCUUGCAGUCAUAGCUGGCACAGUUGGGGGGGGGGAGUCCCCAAUAAUGCACUGCACACUUGUGUGGUGCAUUAUUGGAGCUGAGGGGGGAGGGGUGAUGCUCAGAGGUGCCUCCCAGAACCCCGACCCUCGGAGCCGCAGGGAGCAGCCGCCUGUUGUCUGGGUGUGUGAUCUACCCACUCGGGGAAGCAAGGAUGAUUGUUUGUGGGGAGGAUCCCACUACAGAAGGAUGCUGUUAACCAGGGAAGACUGCUUAGGGACUCCAGCAGACAUCUCCAUCCAAAGAUCAGCAGAAGAGGUUGUAAACAGUGCAUGAAGGUGGCUGAAUUGUAUUUUUCCUUCCCUUUAGGGGGCAACCAUUCACCAUUUGACUGAAAGCCAGGGUCACUGCGUGCGUCAGUUCAAACCAGGAAACAAGCGGCACAGGGAAAUCUAAAGCUGAAGAAAUUUUUGAUUUGCGCACUCGCAGCAUCGGGUCAACAUACUUUUCAAACAGUUCUUUACAGCACUGAGAGCACCAGGGUAAAACCCUCAACCAAAGAUCUCGGGUAUAAAAAAAACUAGCAGAACUGUGGAACUGCUAUUAAGUACCACAAUACAGCCAGAACUUAUUUUCAGCAAGGACUGAGUAGUUUUGGAAGCUAACAUCAUGACCUGAUCCACAGAUUCUUAGGUCACUUUUUUAGACAAUCUGGGCCUCAGCACAGCCACAAACAUCUCAGACAUCAAAGAUAUUAUGGAUGUACUACAUGCCUCCAAUAAGGAACCAUGCCACAUUUUCGGGGCACACCUUCAUCUUCUGCCAAUCAUUAGUCAACUUGGAGCCCUUCUCAGUCAAGAAUGACAUCCUAGAUUGGGAACAGCCCUGGUUAUCCUAAAUGACUCUCCAUGGCCCAAAUUACCACCUUGUUGCAAUACCAGCUGAAGAUUUCCAGCAUCCCUGGAAUAAAUAAUUGCUAGCC